AUGUAGAUUUAGAAGAGGCUGGAAAAGAGGGUGGAAAAAGCAGGGAGGUUAUGAGGCUUAAUAAAGAAGAUAUGCACUUAUUUGGCCAUUACCCGGCACAUGACGACUUCUAUCUCGUAGUGUGCAGUGCCUGUAAUCAGGUCAUCAAGCCACAGGUUUUCCAGUCGCACUGCGGGAGAAAGCAAGACAAGAGAAAUGAAGGCACCGCCAGGAGUGGACCAGAGAGCAGCCAAGCCCUAGAGAAGCAUCAGGUGUGAGAAUGGGCAAUGCAGAAGAUAGACACAACUUCUGAAAGAGCCCUGAGGACUGACUUUGUCUGGAGAAGGCUUCCUGGAAGAGGAGACCCCAGCAGAGCCCUGAAGUGUGGACAAGCUUCCAUGUACUGCAAAUUCGUGAGCACACUCUGGUGACAGGGUCUAGUCAGCUGAUGGGCUGGAGCAGUGCAGGGGGCACCCGUGGGGUUCUUCUUCUCCAUUUUCUCCACCACCACCACCCUGGUCCGAGCUGCCAUCAGUCUCACCUGGACAACUGCAAAAGCCUCCAGCUGUUUUCCCUGCUUCCACUCUUGCUCCUCUACAAUCCAUUCUGCACACGAAGUCAGAAUCCAAAGUUAAUCAUGUCAUUCUCUUGACUUAUGGCUGCCCGUUACUCUUAAGCUAAAAGUAAAAGUCAUUCCCAUGGCUACAGAGUCUUGCAGGGUCUGGACACAUCCUGUGCCCGGCUCCUUUUCCCUGUAUCUGCCAGUCAAGCUGACCUGCAAAAUUCCUGCACUUUGGGUCUCCCUGCCACAAGGCCCUCGCACAUGCUUUCCACCCUCUCUGGAAGCGAUUUUCCUUCAUCCUGUCUUCCCACAGCUAACGCUGACUCAUUCUUCAGAAUGCACCCUCAUGGUUACUUCCUCCUGGAAGACUUCCCCAGUUUUUAUAACUAGAUCAGCUCUCCCUCAUACGUUGACAACAAAUAUUUAUUGUGUGAACAUAUGUUUAAUGUCUGUUUCCUUUACCAUGCCACAGCUCUUGGAGGGCUGGGACCAAAGUCUUCGCAUCUCUGAGCCCAGUACCAUCUCAAUAAAUAUACAGGGACUAGAUCAUGACAUUUAAUUGGCAACAACGAGAGGAGUCCAGAAAUUAUAUUUGACUAGCAUAGAGGAGAGUAUCGUUAUGACCUCUUACUGGGUUGAAAACCUGAAUUCAUGUCCAGACCCCGCCAUCUGCUGUCUGUGCUAUUUUCAAUAAAUCCCAGAUCCUCUCA